ensembl:scaRNA
AUGGCCUUGGGAAAGGCUCCUGUGUUGUUGAACCUGCUCAGUUGUGGGUGCAGCCUUGCACCAGGCAGCCCAACCCUGCCCUAAAGUAAAUUUCCAGGAAAAGUCUUUCCUGGGUUGUGAAUCUGCAGUAACAGGUGUGCACAUCCUAGCAGCAGUUUGAUGAUCAUGGAUGAAACUGCAAACAGGA